rnacentral:lncRNA from 1 species
GUUUCUCAAACUAAAGCCUCAAUUCUCUGCCUCAAACCCUAAUUGAAUUGUAUAAUUGAAUUAUGAAGAAGAAAAGAUCAAACCUUACAGAUCUGAAGCCAUCUCUUUGUACUAGUUGAAGGAAAUUUCAAAAGAGAUAGAGGAAUUAAUCUGUUUGUUUGUUCAAUUGUGUGAUAAAGAUGAGAGCCAGUCUUCCUUCUAACGUACGCAGACAUACAGGGAAGAAGAAAGAAAAGAUUAUCCACAAUAUUCCGGACUUAUAUCAAUCAACAGGUUAAUGACCUUUUCUAUUCUUUUUUCAGAUCAAGUUUGGUCUUUUAUCUCUUUUAAGUUUUUUUUUUCUAUGUCGAUUCAUUAAAUUUGGUUGUUUUUUUUUCUUGAUUCAUACACAGACAUACAUUGAUGACGAAAAAGAAGAAGAUCCACCACAUACAAAGAAAUCCAGACUUAAUAUCAAUCAACAGGUUUAUGACUUUUUCUUUUCUUAGAUCAAGCUUGAUUCUUUUAAAAUUUUUUCCCCAAGUCUCAAUUGAUUAAAUUUGGGUAUUUCUUCUUCCUAAUUCAUACACAGACAUUCAAAGAAGAACAAAAUCUACCAUAUACAAUGAAUUCAGACUUAUAAUGUCAAACAACAGGUUUGUGACCUUUUCUACUAUAUUAAUAAGAUCAAGUUUAGUUUUUUUUUAUCUCUUCCACUUGUUUAUUCAAGUCUCAAUUCAUUAAAUUUGGGUUUUUCUUCUUAAUUCGUACAGACAUACAAAGAAGAAGAAGCAGUAGAAGAUCCAUCACAUUCGAGUUUAGACCUAUAAUAUCAAUGAACAGGUU